rnacentral:rRNA from 1 species
GAUGAACGCUGGCGGCGUGCCUAACACAUGCAAGUCGAGCGAUUUACUUCGGUAAAGAGCGGCGGACGGGUGAGUAACGCGUGGGUAACCUGCCCUGUACACACGGAUAACAUACGGAAAGGUAUGCUAAUACGAGAUAAUAUGCUUUUAUCGCAUGGUAGAAGUAUCAAAGCUUUUGCGGUACAGGAUGGACACGCGUCUGAUUAGCUAGUUGGUAAGGUAACGGCUUACCAAGGCGACGAUCAGUAGCCGACCUGAGAGGGUGAUCGGCCACAUUGGAACUGAGACACGGUCCAAACUCCUACGGGAGGCAGCAGUGGGGAAUAUUGCACAAUGGGCGAAAGCCUGAUGCAGCAACGCCGCGUGAGCGAUGAAGGCCUUCGGGUCGUAAAGCUCUGUCCUCAAGGAAGAUAAUGACGGUACUUGAGGAGGAAGCCCCGGCUAACUACGUGCCAGCCGCCGCGGUAA